rnacentral:rRNA from 1 species
UACGAAGGGGGCUAGCGUUGCUCGGAAUGACUGGGCGUAAAGGGCGCGUAGGCGGUUUGUACAGUCAGAUGUGAAAUUCCUGGGCUCAACCUGGUGGCUGCAUUUGAUACGUGCGGACUUGAGUGAGGAAGAGGGUCGUGGAAUUCCCAGUGUAGAGGUGAAAUUCGUAGAUAUUGGGAAGAACACCGGUGGCGAAGGCGGCGACCUGGUCCUUGACUGACGCUGAGGCGCGAAAGCGUGGGGAGCAAACAGG